GCAGUUAAAACCCUAUAUAUUCAUGUAAAUUAAAGACUUUGCAAGCUGGAACACCAAGUGAAACACAUGCUACAAGUCUCAAUGCUUGCGAUUGGAUUGUGCUAAACGCAUUGGACCGUUGAAAAAUAUUACAAGGUAUUUCUACGAGAAGAAGAAGUAUCCCAAACUACUUUUCUUUGUAUAUAUAUAUUUGCUGUGUACAUAACAUAAUGGUCGCUUUUGGUGUUUUGAGAUUUGAGAAAUAUUAAAUUUCUGUUUGUUUCACAAUUCACGAAGAUUAUAUAAGGUCUUUUUGAAA